AGGAGCUAAAAAAGCUGGAGGCACUACUGAUUCUGCUGUCAGCAGAUGCUCUGUGGGGCACUCAGUGCACAGCUCAGCCUGAACUGGAAGAAUGGACACUUAAGGACUUGGGGACAUCAAAUUAGUGCAAGUCUCAGGUUUAUAGUGACCCCUCCUGUAGCUGCAGCGCCCGGCUGUGAGGGCAACAGUGCAACAGCACAGGCAGAGGAGAGAGGAGCAAAGGACAACAGGAAUCAGCCAGACCCCCAAAGCUGCAGCUUCCCAGGCAGCUGCCUCGUUGUCUGAUGUGGAAUUCCUCCCACUGGAGCCUUUGGUUUCAUUGAGGUGUUGCUUGCUGCUGUUCAGGCGAGGAGGGGUGGGCACGUGGGAUAACACCUGGGCAGGCUUGGGGCUCAAAGCUGCGUGUGCAAUCUUGUCUGAGCUGGUGACCGACAUGCUGCUUGUCCUCUUAGCAAAAGCAAUGGCUGCUGGGGAAGUGUCUGCCCUGGAAUAGGCAGUACCUUCAGUUCUCUGCACUCUCAGACUCCAGCUGGGGCUCGGAGUGUUUGCUGGUAAGCCAUGGCUUGUGGCAGCAGGUGGAGCUUGGAGCAGAGGAGAACCUGACGUGGUGGCAUUGUGAUGUUGGCAUCUUCCCCCCUCAGGGGUCUUUGUGCUGUGCUGCCUCUCAGAUUUACUUGCUGAGGAGUAAGAAUUUGGCUCUUGGGAUUUCAGUUUCUCAAAAAUGAGAAGAUCUGGAUCAAUCCCUGUUGAAUUAGGAUAAUGUUAGUUAAUUGAUAAAGCUUGUCUGCACACCCACAAAAAUGGAGACAGAGGCAGGGCAGGGAGCCCAAAUAAUGCCCUUUUGGAUUGCAGGUGUCACUGCCUCGGGUUAUGGGACACCUUAUGGGAUGCAAGGGAUGUGCAUUUUGGGAUUGCACGCAAUUUACUAUGGGAUGCUUAGGGAAGGAACCAAAGGUGAGGAAAGGGUAGUGAGGGCAGGGAAAUCCAGGAAAGCUUUGUGUGUGUGACAGUCUGCACCAGCAGCUGGAGGGAGGCUGCACCCUGGGGACUCAAACAUGCCAGUGGCAGCAGCUGUUGAGUCUGGGGUCCAGACUGGGCACCCUGAGGUCCAGACUGAGCACAGAGCAUCAAAGCCCAGCUUCUGGGGGACUUUGCAUUGUAUGUAUGUGUGUGUAUAUAUACAGAUAUUUAUACAUUUUCACUAACACAAAAAGCAGGAUGAGGCUUUUGGUGCUCCCUGUGUUGGUGUGCUUGCUUUAUGUGUUUCUCUGUGUUACCUGUGUGCUCACGGUGCAUGUGUCUAAUGAAAAGAAAUGUUCAGCCUUGUUACUGCUUGGGUCUGGGGACAUGGAGCAGUGGCAGCCUCCUCUCUCAGUCUCUCAGAGCUGGGAGGGUAUUUUGGCCAUGCACAGUACUGAUGAGGUAGUCAGAGCAUGAAUCUUGAGAGCAGGGUAUAUCUUCAAGCUCCUUUCUCACUGAGUGGAAAAAAGGGGGGAAGUAUUUUCAGAAGUAGGUAUGUAAAUGAAAAAGGAAAUGUUUUUUAGCAUUGUGUGUUACUUCAGGAGAUAAUUUAGCACAGCAGCUGACCUGAUAUCAUUUCAACAUUUGCUAGAGCUGCUUUGUUUUCAGCCUUUAUAAAUGAAAUGCCUAAUUACCUGCUGUGAUGUUGUACAAAAUGACAUCAACUCCAGCCUUUAGAAUGCAGCUUUCCAAAGCUGGGCAAGACAUGUGCAGGCAGUUCCUGUUCUCAUGAAUGGCUCCAUGGUAGAACACUGCUAGAUUGCAGGAGACUGGAACCCAUAAAGAAGAAAGAUAUUUUGCAAGAAGGAAAUGCACAAGUCUUACCUGCAAACCAGGGACUGAUUUUCCAUGUGCUCUGCAAAGAGGGACCAAGAGGCUGCCACUGAUACAGGGGAGUCUGUGGCCAGUACCAGACCAGCACUUCAUGUUAUUUAGGAACUUCUUUCAUCAGACUCCUCACAUUUCCUCCUGGAAAACAAAAAGGUAUUGUGUGACAGAACAGCUGGAAGGUGACAGGCUGAGAAGUGAGACCCAAGCAGUUUCCCAGGUGAGGUAUGAACCUGCCCAAGUCCUCCUGUGAAUGUCAGUGAUGAAUUUAAUGAAAUGUGCAGCAUAAUUCCAUGUGACAUCAGCAUGAUGUUCCCUGCCUAUGUUGUGCUCCACAUAAGUAAGCUGAAUUUCAGGCCUGUGUUAAAAUCACCUUUAUCUCAUUUUCCUGAGAUCUGCACAUGUAUUUUCCCUUUGUUAUAGUAGUGGUAAGGUCAGAGUUUUAAGUAAGCCAAGUAUAUUGAUAAUUUCAGAAUAUGUCACUGUAACUCUGUUAAGGAAUAAAAGUUAUAAAAGACUAAUGUAAUGAAUCAUGAAAUAAUGAAAUGUAAAUAUGUGGAAAAAAUCAAACCAAGUCUUUGACAUUAUUCAAAUAAUGUGCUUGCUUUCUUUCUCCUUUAAAAUUUUCCUUGAAAUCAAAACUCUCUUGCAAAAUAUCUAAAGUCCAACAAAACAGCAUUUUUUUAGAGAACUGUUAUGUCAAAAACAGCUGUUAGUGGUCAGGUUUUGGUUUGGAGAAACGUAUCACAUUUUUAAUGACUCUGACCUUCUCUGAGGUUAGGGACAAUUGGAUCCAAAGAUUCUGGUUUCAGUCCCACCCCAGAAAAAAGAGGUGAAAUAUUACAGUUUCUCUUCCUGGGGCUUCAUACAAACCAUUUUUUAAACCCUUGUUUCCAAGGGUUGCCAGGCCCUGAGAUUCUCUCGGAGCUUGUCUUCAGACUAAUUCUGGCCAAACCUCUGCUCCAAGACUGGCAUCUGUGUGUUCAAGCAAAGAGCAACACAAGUCUUAGCCAGAUCAGAUUUAUACAAAUAUAUAUCUAGUGGCAUUGCAGAUUAACUUGAGCCAAGUUUUAUGACAAAAGGCACAAUGCUUAGCAUACACUAAUGAACGGAUGCUGAUUUAUGGAGUUUCAAUCUUGUGGUGAAUUUUACAGAGCUGGAUACUGAGUGGAAGUCUUCCAUGUGGAUUACCAUUCAUUUUACCUAGUUAUUAUGUACUAAAAUUCAGCACUGCCUGUCUACACCGGAAUUAAAAAAUAUCUGCUGUUUUAAAAGCACCCAGUUGAGUCUCCUCCAGGCACAGCUGCACAAGAAAUUCCUAGCUGUGAAUGCACAACACAUUUGUGCAGAGCAAACAUCCCUAACAGGGGAUCCAGCAGCAGACAGAGCCACUCCAGCAGCCUGACCCCUAUUCAGGUUUUAUCAGGGAACAUUCAUUUCACCUGAGGGAGUUUCAAGCACAUUCCUUAAGGGGUCUGUGGUGUAAAAAAUGGACCAGGUUGAAGGCCACUGCAAGGAUUUACACUCUUCCACCUCCACUCUGCUGUCUGGGGCCUGGACUUCCUCAUGAUCCACAGAGAAUGCCCACCACACACGGACUCUUGGGAUGGCCUUUUUUGCUGCCCAGGAGCACACACUUUAGUAUAUGUGACUAAAAAGUACUUGAUAGUAAACAAUCUUUCAAAAAACA